GCUAUUUGAUUGGUCAGAUUUUAAAAUUUUUCUUUGCUUUUCUCUGAUUGGUUAACGGUAAUUUACCCACGCCAUUUUGAAAAAUAGAUCGACGAACCAAAUUGAGAGAGUUGGUGAUGUUUAAUAAAAUUUAGCUAAUAUUCGCGGAUGAAAUUGGUAGAAAAUAGAUGUUUAGCUACAGCAUGUUAGCAUGGAUCACAUUUAUAAACAAAGAAAAGCGAAAACGGAAGGAGGUUGGCGUUUUUCAAGCAUCAUGCCCUGGCUUUCCUGGUGUAAACAACGCCAUACGCGUUUGAGUGCCUCUGCAGAGCCAAAGAAGAAAAGCUGAUUAGUUAUAGAGGAAUAGGACACCAACCCCCACCCCCUCCCACCCUACCCCUUGAAGCAUUACAGUCUAAGAUUAUGCAGGACCUAGCAGGAUGACAGUGAGAAAACUGGAGAUGUAUUUUUUUCAAUAAAGUAAAGUGCUGUGCAAAAGAAACCCCAAAGCAGAGAGAAGAUCUAGACUUUUGAAUUCAUAUCUCAUUAUAAAUGUACAAUUUUCAAAGACAAUAAGAUUGAUAAAACAUGACUUAGAAAUGAGGACAAUUGAAGAGUGAAUACUGUAUGUAAGACAGAAAAGAUCAAUAUUAUUGCACAAAAAGUAACUAAAUCAGUAAUCUAAAGUAAAACGAUUUCUCUUUAAAAUCUGAUUGAAAGCUGCAUUUAAGAAGGAAGAAGUUUUUCACCUUUUUUAGUACUUUUCUAGGCACUGCUUUGUAUUAUUUAAAGCUUUUUUAUGUACUUUUUGUCUAUCAUUCUUGUACCUUUUUUGAACUCCUAAAUGUAUUUUUUUUUUUUGUAUC